AACGAACGCUGGCGGCAGGCCUACACAUGCAAGUCGAGCGCCCGCAAGGGAGCGGCGGACGGGUGAGUAACGCGUGGGAACGUGCCCUUUGCUACGGAAUAGCCUCGGGAAACUGAGAGUAAUACCGUAUGUGCCCUUCGGGGGAAAGAUUUAUCGGCAAAGGAUCGGCCCGCGUUGGAUUAGGUAGUUGGUGGGGUAAUGGCCUACCAAGCCGACGAUCCAUAGCUGGUUUGAGAGGAUGAUCAGCCACACUGGGACGGAGACACGGCCCAGACUCCUACGGGAGGCAGCAGUGGGGAAUCUUAGACAAUGCGCGCAAGCCUGAUCUAGCCAUGCCGCGUGAGCAAUGAAGGCCUUAGGGUUGUAAAGCUCUUUCGUGGGGGAAGAUAAUGACGGUACCCCAAGAAGAAGCCCCGGCUAACUCCGUGCCAGCCGCCGCAGUAAAAC
rnacentral:rRNA from 1 species